AAAAUGUACUUAGAUUUUUAUACGACCCCAAAAAAAUUUUGGGUUCGUAUAAUGGUAUGAUGUCGUCGUCUGUGCCGUCUGCGUCGUCUGCGUCAUCGUCGUCCGAAGACACUUUGGUUUCCGGAUAAUAACUUUAGUUUAAGUGAAUAGAUCUUAAUGAAAUUUUUUCAGAAGGUUCAAUACCACAAAAGAAAGGUUGGGAUUUAUUUUGGAGAUGAUGGUCCCAAUCGUUUAGGAAUUAGGGGCCCAAAAGUGGCCAAAACAAGCAUUUUUCUAGUUUCAGGAUAAUAACUUGUUUACAAGUAUUUCAAUUGCUCUGAAAUUAUACCGCAAUGUUUAAAAUCACAAGUAGAAGGUUUGGAUUCAUUUAAGGGGUUAUGGGGCCAAAUUUUAGGAAGUAAGGGCCAAAAAGGGGCCAAAACAAGCAUUUUUCUAGUUUCCAGACAAUACCUUGUGUGUAAUUGCAUGGAUCUCUCUGAAAUUGUACCACAAUGUAGUAUAAAAUAAAGGGGAGGCUGGGAUUAAGUUUUGGGUUAAUUGCCCAAAACAUGUAGGAAUUAAGGGCCAAAAAGAAGCAUGUUUCUAGUUUCCAAACAAUCAUGAC
rnacentral:lncRNA from 1 species